rnacentral:lncRNA from 1 species
UAACGAAGCAGGAAUCCCAAUUUUUUCGAGGUGACUAAGUGAUGGGUGUCGCGGCCCAUACAAAUUUAAUUGCAUAAUAAAAAUGCAGUAUAGCUAGGGAAUGACCCCUAGAUCGUCUCUCAAGGACCAAUUUACGGUUCAGAAAUCAAGUCAAACACGAAGGUUGGGAGGGGUUGUGAAAGGUUCGUGAAUAGAAAUUAACUAAAUUUAAACUGGAAAUUAAAUACAACCAGACAUAAUUGAAAACAUGAAAACAGUAAAUUGAACAAGGCAUGAAGACCGAACAGUCCCACCAACUAACCUAAGCUAACAUGACAGCUAAAUUACCACUACCA